rnacentral:rRNA from 1 species
CCUACGGGAGGCAGCAGUGAGGAAUAUUGGUCAAUGGACGGAAGUCUGAACCAGCCAUGCCGCGUGCAGGAAGACGGCUCUAUGAGUUGUAAACUGCUUUUGUACAAGGGUAAACCUGAAUACGUGUAUUCAGCUGAAAGUACUGUACGAAUAAGGAUCGGCUAACUCCGUGCCAGCAGCCGCGGUAAUACGGAGGAUCCAAGCGUUAUCCGGAUUUAUUGGGUUUAAAGGGUGCGUAGGCGGGAGAUUAAGUUAAGAGUGAAAGCCUUGGGCUCAACCCAAGAAAUGCUCUUAAUACUGGUUUUCUAGAGUGUGGGAGAGGUAAGUGGAAUUCCUAGUGUAGCGGUAGAAUGCGUAGAGAUUAGGAGGAACAUCAGAGGCGAAGGCGGCUUACUGGACCAUAACUGACGCUGAGGCUCGAAAGCGUGGGGAGCAAACAGGAUUAGAUACCCGUGUAGUC